CAGGUACAGAGGGAUGCUACCGGGCGACCGGAUGCGGAUCUCGAAAGCCUGUCCCAGUUCGGACUGGAGUCUGCAACCCGACUCCACGAAGUUGGAUUCGCUAGUAAUCGCGCAUCAGCCAUGGCGCGGUGAAUACGUUCCCGGGCCUUGUACACACCGCCCGUCAAGCCAUGGGAGCCGGGGGCGCCUGAAGUCCGGGACCGCGAGGACCGGCCUAGGGCGAAACUGGUAACUGGGGCUAAGUCGUAACAAGGUAGC
rnacentral:rRNA from 1 species